rnacentral:rRNA from 1 species
AGGACGAACGCUGGCGGCGUGCUUAACACAUGCAAGUCGAGCGGUGAUCCUCCUUCGGGAGGUGAGCAGCGGCGAACGGGUGAGUAACACGUGGGCAACCUGCCCCUCACACUGGGAUAACCUCGGGAAACCGGGGCUAAUACCGGAUACGACCUCGAGCGGCAUCUCUUGAGGUGGAAAGCUCCGACGGUGAGGGAUGGGCCCGCGGCCUAUCAGCUUGUUGGUGGGGUAAUGGCCUACCAAGGCGACGACGGGUAGCCGGCCUGAGAGGGCGACCGGCCACACUGGGACUGAGACACGGCCCAGACUCCUACGGGAGGCAGCAGUGGGGAAUAUUGCGCAAUGGGCGAAAGCCUGACGCAGCGACGCCGCGUGAGGGAUGGAAGGCCUUCGGGUUGUAAACCUCUUUCAGCAGGGACGAAGCGAAAGUGACGGUACCUGCAGAAGAAGCACCGGCUAACUACGCGCCAGCACGCCGCGGUA